CAAUCCGCCCAGGCUCCACCCCUCGAAAAGACCCCGCCUCCGCCCAGGCCUCCGCCCAAGGGCGCCCUUUCGCCUAUAGAGGCUGGGCGGAGCCGGAGUUCAGGCCCCGCCCCGCUCAGGCUCCACCCCGGCCCCGCCCCGCGCCCUAAAGCAGCUAGAUGGGAUGUCCGGGUGCCCUGCUACAUGGAUUUUUGAAUCGGGCGGAUUUAAGCCUUCCUGGCUUUGCUUCCACCUCGCUGUGUGACCUAGGAACGUAGGCCCCAUGAGGACAAGACCUGUCUUUGCGGAUAUAUCCCAAGAACGGUGUCUGGCACAGAGGAGGUCUCCAGUAAAGGACUCCAGCCCCUGCCUCGGUGAUAUGACUUGUCACCAGCGUCUGCAGGACUCCGGAGGGCCUUCCCGGGGCGCCAAUGUGUUGACCUCACUAUGUUCCUGCCACGUCUCCAGCAGGCGUGAGACACUAAAUUCCUGUUUGUGUUUUGUUUAAGGGCAAGAGGAUUAGGGAGGAAGGAGAUGAUGAGGGAAGCAACGGGCAGAGUGGAGAGGGAGGAGAGAGGACCGUCACCGGUCUCCUUGGGGCCCCCACCCAGCCCUCCCUCCAAGCAGCUCGGAGGAGCAGCCAGCCGGCGCGGGUGAGGGCUGCGUGCCACGUACCCUGAGCCGAGUGCCACGUGGCCAAAGCAGUCCCGUUGAGUCACGGGACACAUAGCCACACUACUUUGUAGAGUUUGGUGUGUGGAGUAUUUUUGUUUUUUUACAGCCCAGCUGUCUGUGUAAUGACUUCCUUCCCUCGGCCUUGUUCACGGAGGUGUCCCUGAGCGACCAGCUGAGUCACCACAUUCCUCGCGGCUUAAAACACUGGCCCCAGCACCAAGGCCCAGUUCCUUCAUGGAGACGGGACCUCUCGAGGCAGGCAGGGGGUGCCCAGAAAGACGGGCUGUGGAGCUCCCCUUUCGAGCCCGCACCCUUCCUUCCAAAAAACGUGGUUAAGAACCGAGUAAAGAUGGAGAGAAAUUCCAUCUGCUAAGCAUGAGGAAGAAUGGCCACUCCGUGUGCCACAGCCUGAAGAAUUAUUUGUCCACGACCAUGAAGUCAGUACCAAAUGAGGGAGUGGUGGGGGGGACAAGGCACGGAUGUUCGUGUCGCGUGAAGAGACAGGAACACAAAGGAAGACUGGGGACUCUCAGUGCCCGGCUGGCAGGAACAGAAAAUGGCUUAGUCCUUCCAUAAAAUAAGCAGGUAAUUCUCAGUAACAUUACGUAUGCAUAGGACACAGAGGUUAGCCAUUUCACUCUUUGUAAUAAGUUGGAAAGUUUGCUCAGAUGCACAUAAAACGAGGAGGUUAUUUAGAAUAGCAUUAUUCAUGGCAUAGGUGAACGGGAGGCAAGUGAUGUGCUCAAGGAAGGAGCUAGUAAACCACGGUGGAGGCCUACUUCAGAAUUCCACACAGCUCUGAGAAGUAAUGCCUGCUGGAGCGUGGACUUGCAGAGAGCUCAGUGCGAAAAACAGUCCAAGAGCUUGAAAGCACAACGCUUCUCAUUUUAUUGAGAUGGAACCGAUGUACAGUAAACCACACUUAUUUAAGGUGUACUAUUUGAGUUUCAACAUGUGUAAUUACCCAUGAAACCACCACCAUGAUCAAGAUAAUGAAUAUAUCGAUCACCUCCAAGUACAAGUACACCAGUAUGGAUUCAAAUGGACAGAGGUCUAACACCUGUGGUUAAGUUUUUCUUAUCUAUUUAUUUUUUUAAAAAAAGAUUUUAUUUAUUUAUUUGACAGACAGAGAUCACAAGUAGGCAGAGAGGCAGGCAGAGAGAGAGGAGGAAGCAGGCUCCCUGCUGAGCAGAGAGUCCGAUUUGGGGCUUGAUCCUAGGACCCUGGGAUCAUGACCUGAGCCCAAGGUAGAGGCUUUAACCCACUAAACCACCCAGGUGCCCCUGUGGUUAAGGUUUUUUUUUUUUUUUUUUUUUUUUGCCAGAGAGACAGUGAGAAAGAGCAUGAGAGAGGAGUAGGUCAGAAGUAGAAGCAGACUCCCCGUGGAAGUAGGAGCCCG